rnacentral:rRNA from 1 species
UAGGGAAUCUUCGGCAAUGGGGGCAACCCUGACCGAGCAACGCCGCGUGAGUGAAGAAGGUUUUCGGAUCGUAAAGCUCUGUUGUAAGUCAAGAACGGGUGUGAGAGUGGAAAGUUCACACUGUGACGGUAGCUUACCAGAAAGGGACGGCUAACUACGUGCCAGCAGCCGCGGUAAUACGUAGGUCCCGAGCGUUGUCCGGAUUUAUUGGGCGUAAAGCGAGCGCAGGCGGUUUGAUAAGUCUGAAGUUAAAGGCUGUGGCUCAACCAUAGUUCGCUUUGGAAACUGUCAAACUUGGGUGCAGAAGGGGAGAGUGGAAUUCCAUGUGUAGCGGUGAAAUGCGUAGAUAUAUGGAGGAACACCGGUGGCGAAAGCGGCUCUCUGGUCUGUAACUGACGCUGAGGCUCGAAAGCGUGGGGAGCGAACAGGAUUAGAUACCCUGGUAGUCCACGCCGUAAACGAUGAGUGCUAGGUGUUGGAUCCUUUCCGGGGUUCAGUGCCGAAGCUAACGCAUUAAGCACUCCGCCUGGGGAGUACGACCGCAAGGUUGAAAC